CUCCUUGUUGCACUCAGAUGUCAGAUCUCAGAUAGAGUUCUAGUAUGAGCAUCCACUGCUUACUGCUUGCUUAGUAUUUUACUCACUGCACUCUAGCAACUAGCAUCUAGCAUUUCUGUUGGUAGAUAAAAUAAAGACAAAAGGGCGAAAGAAAUCUAAAAGCUAGGAAAGAAUAAUUUUAUUAUCCACAAUUAUGGAUGCAGACUCAAGAAAAUCGACCACAAGUGGUCUAGAUCGCAUUUUUAAAUCAACACUUGUUUUUAAAAUGAUCGAAGGCUACAAAUAUUCCGUUAAAAUAAGUCACACAAAUACAACUGCAGUUAAUAUUAUGAAAUCGAGUGAUCCUGGUCCAAAACUAAAGAACUGGAUGGUUCGAUUUGAUAAUCCUCAUAAAAAUGUUCAAUAUGCUCACAUCAAUUUGAGAUCCAAGUAUACUGGAAUUAAAGAUCCACACGCGAAGUUGCCACCAGGCUCAAUUACUGCAGUUCAGGGUGCUGCGUAUAUAGGAAAAGCCUUAGAUUGGCUUUGCUAUAUAACUGUGAUUGUGG